ACGGGAGGCAGCAGUAGGGAAUAUUGCACAAUGGGGGAAACCCUGAUGCAGCAACGCCACGUGUGGGAAGAAGCAUUUCGGUGUGUAAACCACUGUCGUGAGGGAAUAAUGCUUGGUCUCGGCCAAGUUGAAUGUACCUCGAAAGGAAGCACCGGCAAACUUCGUGCCAGCAGCCGCGGUAAUACGAGGGGUGCAAGCGUUGUUCGGAAUUACUGGGCGUAAAGGGCGCGUAGGCGGACAAAUUAGUCAGGAGUGAAAUCCCGGGGCUCAACCUCGGAACUGCCUUUGAAACGGUUUGUCUUGAGUAUGACAGGGGAUGAUGGAAUACCCAGUGUAGAGGUGAAAUUCGUAGAUAUUGGGUAGAACACCAGAGGCGAAGGCGGUCAUCUGGGUCAUUACUGACGCUGAGGCGCGAGAGCGUGGGGAUCAAACAGGAUUAGAUACCCUGGUA
rnacentral:rRNA from 1 species